rnacentral:misc_RNA from 1 species
AAAAAUAAGCUUCGCCAUGUUAUUUUGUCUAGAUAUCAGAUUAGAGAUGUUUAUUUGUGAUCAUUGAAGUUGACAUUUGCAACGAAAAGUUACGUACUAGUGUUUCAACAAUGAGUGUGCAUUGAAUAAUAUUAUUUAGUAUCUUAUCUAUAAAUUAUUAAUUGUUGAUUGAAUCGCAGUGACUUCGUUUCAUUCUGUGAUUUUUGGGAAUUUAUUCACAUGGGGUUUCAAGAGCGUAGUUUCGACAGCUUUUUGGUACCCGUUGUUAGGAUACGACAUGGCACAUAAGAAAAGAGCCUUUCCAUCUACCUCAUCACUCAUCCGAGUGACACAGUAAAUAUAAUAUAUUUACUAUUCUGAUGACUAUAUAAUUGACGUCUGGUUAAUUAUGCAGAAAUUUGACUAAAUGACUUCGACUACUGAAAAUAAAACUGCGAAGAAAGGUUGUACUGCUGAACUCUCGUUCACCAUGGCAGUCUUUUCGUGGCAUAAAGAAUUAGUUCCUCUGUGCAAGUGGCUCACAUUAUGCUUCAUUCUCGCCAUAUGCUUGUUACAUUCGACGAGUGGCAGUGCGAUAGUGGUGACGACUCGCUGUGAGUUCUACAACUACACGCAGUGUGGCGAAACUGGCAACCCUGACAGCUGCAACGGCACCGAGGAGUGUCCCUCGUCCGAGCCCGACAAGCGCAGUCAGUGCUACGUCGUCUGGCAGAACAACAGCCACGGAAAACCAUACAUCUACAUGAAAGGAUGCUUUCUGAACAACAUGGAGUGCUACAAUCAGCCGAAGUGCGUGCACAAGAGAGGAGAAUCAAAGCACAACUUCUUGUUCUGCUGCUGCGAAGGUGACAUGUGCAACAAAGACUUCACUUUCGCACCCGUGCCAAGUCAAGCACCAACGCAACACUCUAAAACGCCAAUGGAUCACAAAAAUGAUCAGCUGAUGAACACUCUUCUGUACUCGUUGAUACCGGUCAUAGCAUUGAUGGUUGCUAUUGCAAUAUUCUACUGGGUUUAUCGCCAACGAAAGAUUGCUUAUUUCCAUGAGGUACCGACUAUGGAUCCUCACCAGCUGUCAGUACCUUCGCCAUUGCUGGGCCUGCGACCAAUUCAGCUGAUUGAGAUAAAGGCAAGAGGCCGUUUUGGUUCGGUGUGGAAGGCCCAGUACAAGUCGGAUACGGUUGCCGUUAAAAUUUUUCCAAUUCAGGAUAAGCAGUCUUGGCUGGCCGAACAGGAGAUCUUCAAGCUGCCGCACAUGGACCACGAGAACAUUCUGCGCUACGUGGGAGUGGAGAAGCGAGGCGACAACCUGCAGGCCGAGUUCUGGCUGAUCACCGCCUACCACGAGAAGGGCUCCCUCUGCGACUUCCUCAAGGCCAACGUCCUAACCUGGGCCGAACUCUGUCAUGUCGCCGAGACUAUGGCUAGGGGCCUGAUGCACCUGCACGAAGAGCUGCCGGCGAACAAGGCUGACGGCUACAAGCCAGCGAUCGCGCACCGCGACUUCAAGUCGAAGAAUGUGCUGCUGAAGGCCGACCUGUCCGCCUGCAUCGCCGACUUUGGCCUGGCACUCGUCUUUCAGCCCGGCAAGCCCUGCGGCGACACUCACGGACAGGUUGGAACUCGGAGAUAUAUGGCUCCUGAAGUGCUGGAAGGAGCAAUCAAUUUCUCGAGAGAUGCUUUCCUGCGUAUCGACGUCUAUGCCUGUGGUCUCGUUCUCUGGGAGUUGGCAUCCAGGUGCACAGCCCAGGAAGGGCCGAUAUCAGAAUAUCAACUCCCUUUUGAAGAGGAGGUUGGCCAGCACCCUAUACUGGAGGACAUGCAGGAGGCAGUAGUGCACAAGAAGCUGCGGCCUGCUAUCAAAGAGACCUGGAAAAGACAUUCGGGUCUGACGGCGCUGGCGGACACGAUGGAGGAGUGCUGGGACCAUGACGCGGAGGCGCGGCUGUCCGCCUCCUGUGUGAUGGAGCGCAUCGCCUGGCAGUCGCGACUGCUGCUCCCGCACAUGCAUCCGCUACUGCUCAACGAAUCGCCCAUAUAGAGACGGCUUUCUGUCGGCAGACAUGAAACUGCACUGGACAUCAGCGGAUGCUAUUCUCUCGAAUAUUCCCUGUUGUAAUAUGAACUUCACUCAAAACAGAUGAAUUUAAAGUUCAAAAGUUUGUGCCAAAAAUUUGCAGAAGACAUUUUGUUCAACUUCUACUGCUUGGAGUAAUACUGCAUCAAUUAUUAGUUGGCGGAACUGUUUGGUUGUAUCGUUACUGGUAGAGUACGGUACGCUAUUGUCAGUGAAGUUCAUUUAAGUUGGCAUGAAGAUUUCUCUUGGCUAUGAGAUUCAGGACCUGCAACUCUCCAACAAUGGAUCGUAAAGAUGAAUGCUCACAGUAGAUUUGUAGAGCUUUGUUUUCUCUUCAAUUUGAUGUUUUAUUCCACUACUUAAUAUUUUCCUUCUAUUGUUGUAGCAGAUUCAAUGUGGGGGGUGAAAUUUUUAACUCUGCAACAAUAGUGUCAACUUAGCUGUUCCACACCUUCAAUAGACGUGCUAGAGAUGCGUAUUUUGGCUAUGUUUACCUCCCAACUAGUCUUCAUUAAGCUACAGAGUCAAAAAUUGUGUACCAGAUGUUCCAGACUCAAAUUUCAUUGUCAAGUGAUCAAUUGUUACAAAAUUAAAAUUUCACACCCCACAUUGAAUCUGCUACAACUCAAACUCAGUUUCAAUAAAAACAACAACAAAAAAUAAAGUCACGUCAGAGACCCUGAAAUUAAUCAGGUACCGGUAGCCUAUGAAAAGUUCAAACGUGAAGAACAGGAGACCUGUGCCGGCUAAUCCAUAUUUUAUAAUUUGUAUUCCAUUUGGAAAUACAGAAACACUUGAAGCCGUGUUUUAACAUGAGUUACUGAUUUAUAUAACUAUGGAUCUUGUCAAGGCUGUAGUAAAAAUUUCAAUAAUUUAUGUUUUGUACCUCGUGGUUCAAAAUAUUUGCAUGGCAUUGAUAGGUUUUCCACAACUCCCUGGUGCAAUAUCUGUAUACUGUUCUCACUAUCGAUUAGUGGCAAUGGCGUGAUAAUUUUCUCAAAUCAACAAGAAAGUUCUACACAAUCAUCAGAAAAAUAUUAAUUUCCAAAAGCACCCGUCAUUUAAACUAUUAUAAGAGAAAGAACAUGCUAACCGCCAACUAUUUCUCUUCCACAUAAUAAAUAUUGCAUUAUACUUGUUUUACAACUGCCGGGAAUCGAGAAAAAUUAUAAAAUCAAUUAUAUAGGCAACUACAAAAAAAACAAUUUUUUCAUUCUAAUCCAAUUAUUAAAAGAAAUAUAAUUAAUUAUUGAACACAAUAAGAAUAUUGAGAGAAUUUAUUUAACUUGAACAAAAAUGCAUUCUAUUAAUUAGGAUCAAUGAUAGUGUUCAAGUGUGCAAGCAAUUGUUAUAGAAAGUUUCGUUAAAAGUAUUUUUCAUUUUAUUAGACCUAUUGCUAUUUUGGCUACCCACCUAAUUAUUAAUAGUACUUCUUUCAUUUUUUUUUUGUUAAUAGUGAAAGAAUCGUAGAAGACGAGAACUUGAUUUAAUUUUCAAAAUGUUCAGUUCACUAAAAACUCCAGGAAGUCAAUCUAAUACACUUGCAUUUUUUGCCUGAAGAGAAUAUAUAUCAUAAUCGGUCAUCUUGAGGGGGAUUGAACUAGAAUUAAGGUCAAGACAGUGGAAAACGUUGGACUAAAAACUGUGUUCGUCAAAUUAAAGUCAUUUAAAAAUCACUGUAAGCCAAUCAAGUCAUCUAAUCUGAAUUAAGUAAGCCAUCUUGACCACUAUUGAAUAAUAUGAUAAUGAGACUGAAUUUAUUAAUUAGGUGUUAGUAUUUUUUGAGAUAACGAAGAAAAUAUACCUUAUUAUUCAACAUUCAGGACUUACAGUUUGUGAGACUUCUUUACCACUGAAGCUUGACAGUGAUCACAAUAAAAUAGCAAAUAUAUUUUCAAAUGUACAAUUGAUCCAAUUUUAAUUGAAUUUGAAUUUGAGGAAAUUACUUACGUCCAAGGGAAAUUGUAUUCCACAAGAUCGUCUAGGAUGAAACGUUCGUUGAGCACUGGUUAUACGCAGCGAAUAGAAGUCACAGACUGAGACGAUAAUCUGGUAAAACGCCAAAGGCUAUAAAUACUAAAUGGUAGCAAUUUAGAGUUUCAUGUACUGCACUAAACACGAGCGAUUAUUGUGUUUGCGUCCGCCGCACUCCUUUUAGCCAGAAAGACCUGCGUUUUUAUUUCCCAUACUCGUCGGAUGUGAGCUUUUCCAGUCUUUCUUUCUGUAGCUGCGAUCUUCUUAGCUAAGACAACGCCAGCUACAUUCGCGAGUUGAAACAGAACUGAGGCUUCAACUGCAGACUGGAAGGCUGAAAUAGACCAUCUCCACCUCUUUUCCAAUCUGUUCACAGCCCAGAAUAGACCCCAGGGGCAAAGGCCUAGCAGCUUUUGCCUCAUUCACUCACUCACUCCAACCAACGCGCAUCUUAGGUCACUGACAAAAUGUUCAAUUUGCUCCAAUGUAGACUGCAAUUUGUCAGAACUCAUCAGGAAAUAAA